rnacentral:rRNA from 1 species
CGGUGUUUAACUGGCGUGAUGUGGGACGUCCUACCGGUGGGCUUAGCCUCGCGAGGGGCGGCCCAACUAAUAUCCCGUCGCGGUGCUCUUUACUGAGUGUCGAGUCGGGCCGGUACGUUUACUUUGAACAAAUUAGAGUGCUUAAAGCAGGGCUAUCCUCGCCUGAAUACUGCGUGCAUGGGAAUAAUGGAAUAGGACCUCGGUUCUAUUUUGUUGGUUUUCGGAACCCCGAGGUAAUGAUUAAUAGGGACAGAUGGGGGCAUUCGUAUUGCGACGUUAGAGGUGAAAUUCUUGGAUCGUCGCAAGACGGACAGAAGCGAAAGCAUUUGCCAAAAAUGUUUUCAUUAAUCAAGAACGAAAGUUAGAGGUUCGAAGGCGAUCAGAUACCGCCCUAGUUCUAACCAUAAACGAUGCCAGCUAGCGAUCCGCCGAAGUUCCUCCGAUGACUCGGCGGGCAGCUUCCGGGAAACCAAAGCUUUUGGGUUCCGGGGGAAGUAUGGUUGCAAAGCUGAAACUUAAAGGAAUUGACGGAAGGGCACCACCAGGAGUGGAGCCUGCGGCUUAAUUUGACUCAACACGGGAAACCUCACCAGGCCCAGACACCGGAAGGAUUGACAGAUUGAUAGCUCUUUCUUGAUUCGGUGGGUGGUGGUGCAUGGCCGUUCUUAGUUGGUGGAGCGAUUUGUCUGGUUAAUUCCGAUAACGAACGAGACUCUAGCCUGCUAAAUAGGCGUACCUUAUGGUAUCGCGAAGGCCCCCGGCUUCGGCCGGUGGGUUUUUACUACCAACGUACAAACAAAUCUUCUUAGAGGGACAGGCGG